rnacentral:rRNA from 1 species
GCUGGCGGCAGGCCUAACACAUGCAAGUCGAGCGGUAGCACAGAGAGCUUGCUCUCGGGUGACGAGCGGCGGACGGGUGAGUAAUGUCUGGGAAACUGCCUGAUGGAGGGGGAUAACUACUGGAAACGGUAGCUAAUACCGCAUAACGUCGCAAGACCAAAGUGGGGGACCUUCGGGCCUCAUGCCAUCAGAUGUGCCCAGAUGGGAUUAGCUAGUAGGUGGGGUAAUGGCUCACCUAGGCGACGAUCCCUGGCUGGUCUGAGAGGAUGACCAGCCACACUGGAACUGAGACACGGUCCAGACUCCUACGGGAGGCAGCAGUGGGGAAUAUUGCACAAUGGGCGCAAGCCUGAUGCAGCCAUGCCGCGUGUGUGAAGAAGGCCUUCGGGUUGUAAAGCACUUUCAGCGGGGAGGAAGGCGAUAAGGUUAAUAACCUUGUCGAUUGACGUUACCCGCAGAAGAAGCACCGGCUAACUCCGUGCCAGCAGCCGCGGUAAUACGGAGGGUGCAAGCGUUAAUCGGAAUUACUGGGCGUAAAGCGCACGCAGGCGGUCUGUCAAGUCGGAUGUGAAAUCCCCGGGCUCAACCUGGGAACUGCAUUCGAAACUGGCAGGCUAGAGUCUUGUAGAGGGGGGUAGAAUUCCAGGUGUAGCGGUGAAAUGCGUAGAGAUCUGGAGGAAUACCGGUGGCGAAGGCGGCCCCCUGGACAAAGACUGACGCUCAGGUGCGAAAGCGUGGGGAGCAAACAGGAUUAGAUACCCUGGUAGUCCACGCCGUAAACGAUGUCGAUUUGGAGGUUGUGCCCUUGAGGCGUGGCUUCCGGAGCUAACGCGUUAAAUCGACCGCCUGGGGAGUACGGCCGCAAGGUUAAAACUCAAAUGAAUUGACGGGGGCCCGCACAAGCGGUGGAGCAUGUGGUUUAAUUCGAUGCAACGCGAAGAACCUUACCUGGUCUUGACAUCCACAGAACUUUCCAGAGAUGGAUUGGUGCCUUCGGGAACUGUGAGACAGGUGCUGCAUGGCUGUCGUCAGCUCGUGUUGUGAAAUGUUGGGUUAAGUCCCGCAACGAGCGCAACCCUUAUCCUUUGUUGCCAGCGGUCCGGCCGGGAACUCAAAGGAGACUGCCAGUGAUAAACUGGAGGAAGGUGGGGAUGACGUCAAGUCAUCAUGGCCCUUACGACCAGGGCUACACACGUGCUACAAUGGCAUAUACAAAGAGAAGCGACCUCGCGAGAGCAAGCGGACCUCAUAAAGUAUGUCGUAGUCCGGAUUGGAGUCUGCAACUCGACUCCAUGAAGUCGGAAUCGCUAGUAAUCGUAGAUCAGAAUGCUACGGUGAAUACGUUCCCGGGCCUUGUACACACCGCCCGUCACACCAUGGGAGUGGGUUGCAAAAGAAGUAGGUAGCUUAACCUUCGGGAGGGCGCUUACCACUUUGUGAUUCAUGACUGGGGUGAAGU